CCUACGGGAGGCAGCAGUGGGGAAUAUUGCACAAUGGGGGGAACCCUGAUGCAGCGACGCCGCGUGAGUGAAGAAGUAUUUCGGUAUGUAAAGCUCUAUCAGCAGGGAAGAAGAUGACGGUAUCUGUCUAAGAAGCACCGGCUAACUACGUGCCAGCAGCCGCGGUAAUACGUAGGGGGCAAGCGUUAUCCGGAUUUACUGGGUGUAAAGGGAGCGUAGACGGCAGGGCAAGUCUGGAGUGAAAGCCCGGGGCCCAACCCCGGGACUGCUUUUGAAACUGCCAUGCUAGAGUGCUGGAGAGGUAAGCGGAAUUCCUAGUGUAGCGGUGAAAUGCGUAGAUAUUAGGAGGAACACCAGUGGCGAAGGCGGCUGACUGGACAGUAACUGACGUUGAGGCUCGAAAGCGUGGGGAGCAAACAGGAUUAGAUACCCCAGUAGUC
rnacentral:rRNA from 1 species